CCUACGGGGAGCAGCAGUCGAGAAUCAUUCACAAUGGGGGAAACCCUGAUGGUGCGACGCCGCGUGGGGGAAUGAAGGUCUUCGGAUUGUAAACCCCUGUCAUGUGGGAGCAAAUUAAAAAGAUAGUACCACAAGAGGAAGAGACGGCUAACUCUGUGCCAGCAGCCGCGGUAAUACAGAGGUCUCAAGCGUUGUUCGGAAUCACUGGGCGUAAGGCGUGCGUAGGCUGUUUCGUAAGUCGUGUGUGAAAGGCGCGGGCUCAACCCGCGGACGGCACAUGAUACUGCGAGACUAGAGUAAUGGAGGGGGAACCGGAAUUCGCGGUGUAGCAGUGAAAUGCGUAGAUAUCGAGAGGAACACUCGUGGCGAAGGCGGGUUCCUGGACAUUAACUGACGCUGAGGCACGAAGGCCAGGGGAGCGAAAGGGAUUAGAUACCCCAGUAGUC
rnacentral:rRNA from 1 species